GUAGUGGUUAACAUGCCUGCCUGUCACGCAGGAGAUCGCGGGUUCGAGUCCCGUCGGGACCGCCA
rnacentral:tRNA from 1 species